UACGGAGGGUGCAAGCGUUAAUCGGAAUUACUGGGCGUAAAGCGCACGCAGGUGGCUGAGCGAGUCGAUUGUGAAAGCCCUGGGCUUAACCUGGGAAUUGCAGUCGAUACUACUCAGCUAGAGUAUGGGGAGAGGGAUGCGGAAUUCCAGGUGUAGCGGUGAAAUGCGUAGAUAUCUGGAGGAACACCUGCGGCGAAGGCGGGUUGCUGGGCCGACACUGACGCUGAGGCGCGAAAGCUAGGGGAGCGAACGGG
rnacentral:rRNA from 1 species